rnacentral:rRNA from 1 species
GACGAACGCUGGCGGCGUGCCUAACACAUGCAAGUCGAACGAAGCAUUUAAGUGAAUCCCUUCGGGGUGAAGCUUUUAUGACUUAGUGGCGGACGGGUGAGUAACGCGUGAGUAACCUGCCUUAUGGAGGGGGACAACAGUUGGAAACGACUGCUAAUACCGCAUAAUGUUAUUUGGGGGCAUCCCCGAAUAACCAAAGCUUUAUGUGCUGAAAGAUGGUCUCGCGUCUGAUUAGCUAGAUGGCGGGGUAACGGCCCACCAUGGCGACGAUCAGUAGCCGGUCUGAGAGGAUGAACGGCCACAUUGGGACUGAGAUACGGCCCAGACUCCUACGGGAGGCAGCAGUGGGAAUAUUGGGCAAUGGGGGAAACCCUGACCCAGCCAAGUAGCGUGAAGGAUGACUGCCUACGGGUUGUAAACUUCUUUUGUUUGGGAAUAAAUGAUACUACGUGUAGUAUUUUGCAUGUACCUUACGAAUAAGCAUCGGCUAAUUCCGUGCCAGCAGCCGACGG